UAAUUGGACUAGUUUUAGUUUUUUUCAUUAAGGACAAAAAUGAAUCGAGAAAACCAUUACCCGAAAAGUUUUAUCAGAAAAAAGUUUUUUGGGCUUGGAUUUUUAUUCCACUCUUUG
rnacentral:snRNA from 1 species